AUCCAGCUGACGAGACGCGGACGAAACGCGCGUCCUGGAU
rnacentral:hammerhead_ribozyme from 1 species